UCAUCAUCAUUAUUAUUAUUAUUAUUAUUAUUAUUGUUAUUUAUUACUCUUUAUGAAUUCCUAAUGUUUUAAGCUGAUGUGUCAUAACCUCCUAAUUUUGAAAUUUUUUUUAUUUAGAAUGAGUCAUUUUAUUCUCCUCUCAACAUACGUCUCUUUAUUUUUUUCAUUUAAUUUUUAUUUAGAAUGAGUCAUUUUACUCUUUCCCUCUCUCUCUCAAUAUACGUCUCUUCAUUUCCCCCAUUCAAUUUUUAUUUAGAAUAAGGCAUUUUACUCUCUCUCUCUCUCUCUCAACAUAAGUCUCCUCAUCUCUUCUAUUUUUUCCUCUCUCUCAACAUACGUUUCUUCAUCUCUCCAAUUUAAUUUUUAUUUAGAAUGAAUUAUUUUACUCUUUCUCUCUCUAUUGUUGGGUUCCUAUCUGCUGCCUACAAUGAGAGACUUUCGGUAGAUAUACCAAAUAAGAUACAUAAAAAAAUAUUUAAUAUUUUAUUAUUAUUAAUUAUUAUUAUAGUUUCUACCCGCUACAAAGCGCAGGACUCUUCACUAGUUAUAUAUUAAUUCUCAAUCAAUUUUUGCUGAUGUGGCAGAGGUUAUAUUAAUUCUCAAUCAAUUUUUGCUGAUGUGGCAGAGGUGGGUAUGGUGUGGUGUGGGGCCCAGGCGGAGGAAAAAUUCUAGAAUGCAACGGGUAUAUUAGUGACGUGGCGUAACAAACCAAUCAAGUUAAUCCUUUUAAGAAUAUAUGUCCCAUCAUGAUUGUAAAAAAAUAUUUUUAUUGUACUUUCGUUUGAAAAGAAGGAAUGUGAUUGGCUUGUUAUUGAUGACGUGGUGCAAGUGUGACAGUGUAGAAUUCCUCCAGGCGGAGGGGGGGAGUUGGGUGGCCCUUUUUUAUUUAUUUAUUUUUUUUAUUUUGCAUCAACAUGAAUAAUGAAAGAUUUUGAAUUUAUUUUAAUCCAAUCUACUGACUUUUAAAUAUUUUAGAUUAUGUAUAUUAAAUAUAAAGUUUGAUUUUAUAAUAUUGGUCACUUAUAUAUAAAAUUUAAAAGAUAUAUAAUUUUUUAUCCAUAAAAAUAUUCAAUCUCUUAUAGUAUACACCAGAUGCAAGUAAAGAUUUCUAUGCACAAGAUGCAAGUAAAAAUUUUUCCUCUUAUUUGGAAGUGACAAAGCCACCUUUAUUACGUAUUAAGUUACUCACUAAUGAGGGACUAUCAUGCUUACUAAAAAUUUUGAAAAUGCUCAUUGCAUCAUAAACCUAUUAUAAAAUAUAUAUAUCAAAAAUAAAAUUUUGAUGACAUUAAUUAUUUAAAUAUUUUUAUUAUAUUAUAUUUUAGUUUAGUAUUAAUUACCAAAUGUUCCGUUAAUUAUAUAAUAUUCUGUACGAUAUAUAAAAAAUUAGUACGCACUAAAUGUAAAGAAAUAUUUAUGCCAUAACAGUAUCUGAUUUUCUUACUGCUACACCUUUAACUAUACUCAUCUCAUCAAAAUUACCAACUCCAAUCCUAAUGAAGUCAUUCCUGCGGAAGCCAAUGAACAACAACGAUUACUUAGCAUCAACUUGCGAUUUUUUCUUUUCUUUCGGAAGUGAUAAAGCUAAACCCAUUAAGUCAUUAACCAAUAGAGAAUUACCAUCAAUCUACUAAAAAUUUUUAAUAUACUCAUUGCACCAUAAAUUUACUUUAAAAUAUAUAUCAAAAAUAAAAUUUUAAUAACAUAAUAAAUUAUUUAAAUAUUUUUAUUAUAUCAUAUCUUAUUGUAUAAUAUUAAUCACCAAAUGCUUCGUCUCUACAU
rnacentral:lncRNA from 1 species